rnacentral:lncRNA from 1 species
AACCUGCAGGCACAGAGGGAUCAGCCAAGAGGCCUGCCAGAGCCCAGUAUCCUGCAACACUAGGACCAGAUGGAACAUGGAUAGUGCCUCACCUGCAUUCUGGAAUCUGAUGCCAGCUGACUUUACCUCAGGCAGGACACAUGAUUCUUCAAAGGCCCUUAGAUUUGGUAUUGCUUUUGGUUUAAGAGGAAUGCAGCAGGAAUAAAACAGAUGGAAGAACAGAAGAGAAAUAUCAAUACCUCAUCACGUAUUUACAGUAUUAAACAGGUAUAUUCUUCUGUAUAUAAAUAGACACACAUGCACAUAAAAACAUAGGCAACCUUGCCAUGAGAAUACGUGCCUAAGCCUGUUAGCAUCCACCCACAGCCACAUGUGCGUGUGAACAUGCACACAUUAUAUAACUUUGGUUAUGUAGUUGAAAUCACUACAUGAAAAUAUUCAAUUCAGAACUGUUUCCAUGGGAAUAUCGGGGCUUGCACAUCAUUGUGAAGAAACAUCUGUCCUGAUUUGGGAUUUCACCAAUGUACCUUAGCUUUACUUGCUUAAUGUUGGUUGAGAUUUUACAGUCAAAAGCCCUCAGGCAAAUUAAACUAGCCAUGUACACCCUCAGGGAGAUGAGACUUUAGUUACAUGCCUGAUACCAAUUGAUGCCAACUAGAAGAACUUCAUGAUAUUAAUGAAUGUCUAUAAUUAAAGAACUGUUAAUUAAAGUGAGUCAACCAAUCUAUUGGAAAUCUCAUACUAUUUUUUGAACCUGCCUUUAUAAUGUAAUUGUAUUUCAAGAUGACUGAGAAUCACUUAGUAAUUACUUAGUGCAUUUUGCAAGAACUGAGCAGAGUUCUAGCCAUCCUGCUCAUUGAUUUUGACAGUAGAAUAGCAAUUCAAAUCCCAAACAGAGCUGAGAAUUUUCUCUCUUCAAAACGCAGCUAACUUAAGUCCAUAU